CCCUUAGAUGUUCUGGGCCGCACACGCGCUACACUGAAGGAGGCAGCGUGUACUCCUGGAUCGAAAGAUUUGGGUAACCCGCGAAUCUCCUUCGUGCUAGGGAUUGAGGUUUGCAAUUAUCCUUCAUGAACGAGGAAUUCCAAGUAAGUGCAAGUCAUAAGCUUGCGCUGACUACGUCCCUGCCCUUUGUACACACCGCCCGUCGCUACUACCGAUUGAAUGAUUUAGUGAGGACUUCGGACUGGGACCGAUGCGGCUUUCGGGCUGCGUCGGUAUUCUGGAAAGAUGUCCAAACUGUAUCAUUUAGAGGAAGUAAAAGUCGUAACA
rnacentral:rRNA from 1 species